rnacentral:rRNA from 1 species
AUUGAACGCUGGCGGCAGGCCUAACACAUGCAAGUCGAGCGAGCGGCGGACGGGUGAGUAAUGUCUGGGAAACUGCCUGAUGGAGGGGGAUAACUACUGGAAACGGUAGCUAAUACCGCAUACCAUCAGAUGUGCCCAGAUGGGAUUAGCUAGUAGGUGGGGUAACGGCUCACCUAGGCGACGAUCCCUAGCUGGUCUGAGAGGAUGACCAGCCACGCUUGAACUGAUACAAGGUCCAGACUCCGCCGGGAGGCAGCAGUGGGGAAUAUUGCACAGUGGGCGCAAGCCUGAUGCAGCCAUGCCGCGUGUGUGAAGAAGGCCUUCGGGUUGUCAAGCACUUUCAGCGGGGAGGCUUUACCCGCAGAAGAAGCACCGGCUAACUCCGGGCCAGCAGCCGCGGUAAUUC